rnacentral:rRNA from 1 species
GACGAACGCUGGCGGCGUGGAUUAGGCAUGCAAGUCGAACGGUAUCAUCCUUUCGGGGGUGAGAGAGUGGCGAACUGGUGAGUAACACGUAGGUUAUCUACCCUCAAGACGGGGACAACCCAGGGAAACUUGGGCUAAUACCGGAUGUGAGCAACUUUUAGUUGUUUGAAAGGUGGCGUAAGCUGUCGCUUGGGGAUGAGCCUGCGUCCUAUUAGUUAGUUGGUGAGGUAACGGCUCACCUAGGCAAUGAUAGGUAGGCGGCCUUAACGGGUGGUCGCCCACACUGGGGAUUGAGAUACGGCCCAGACUCCUACGGGAGGCAGCAGUCGAGAAUAGUCUACAAUGGUCGGAAGACUGAUAGUGCGACGCCGCGUGAACGAUGAAUCCCUUCGGGGUGUAAAGUUCUUUUAUAUGUGAGCAGUGCUUCUUAUAUUAACAGUAUGGGGAGAGAGAUAUUAGCAUAUGAAUAAGCAACGGCUAACUCCGUGCCAGCAGCCGCGGUAAUCU